GGCCUAACACAUGCAAGUCGAGCGAUUUAGUGGGUAGCUUGCUACCUACUGGAGAGCGGCGGACGGGUGAGUAAUGCGCAGGGAUCUGCCUUGAAGAGGGGGAUAACACGGGGAAACUCGUGCUAAUACCGCAUAUGACCUGAGGGUAAAAGGGUGCGCAAGCACUCGCUUUGAGAGGAACCUGCGUUGGAUUAGCUAGUUGGUGGGGUAAAGGCCUACCAAGGCGAAGAUCCAUAGCUGGUCUGAGAGGACGGACAGCCACACUGGGACUGAGACACGGCCCAGACUCCUACGGGAGGCAGCAGUGGGGAAUAUUGGACAAUGGGGGCAACCCUGAUCCAGCGCUGCCGCGUGUGUGAAGAAGGCCUUCGGGUUGUAAAGCUC
rnacentral:rRNA from 1 species